GAUGAACGCUGGCGGCGUGCCUAAUACAUGCCAGUCGAGCGAACAGACGAGGAGCUUGCUCCUCUGACGUUAGCGGCAGACGGGUGAGUAACACGUGGAUAACCUACCUAUAAGACUGGGAUAACUUCGGGAAACCGGAGCUAAUACCGGAUAAUAUAUUGAACCGCAUGGUUCAAUAGUGAAAGACGGUUUUGCUGUCACUUAUAGAUGGAUCCGCGCCGCAUUAGCUAGUUGGUAAGGUAACGGCUUACCAAGGCAACGAUGCGUAGCCGACCUGAGAGGGUGAUCGGCCACACUGGAACUGAGACACGGUCCAGACUCCUACGGGAGGCAGCAGUAGGGAAUCUUCCGCAAUGGGCGAAAGCCUGACGGAGCAACGCCGCGUGAGUGAUGAAGGUCUUCGGAUCGUAAAACUCUGUUAUUAGGGAAGAACAAAUGUGUAAGUAACUAUGCACGUCUUGACGGUACCUAAUCAGAAAGCCACGGCUAACUACGUG
rnacentral:rRNA from 1 species